ACUCCUUCUAAAGCUAAAUAUCACCACGAGACCGAUAGCGAACAAGUACCGUGAGGGAAAGUUGAAAAGCACUCUGAAUAGAGAGUCAAAAAGUACGUGAAACUGCCUAGGGCUCAAGCCCGUUGAACUCGAUUAUCCGAGCGGAGACAUUCACCUGCGGUUCGGCCGGUUCCGGCCGGCUCGCCGCAGGGCACUUGUCUCCCGCGUCACACGAGGACAUUGCGAUCCAUUACGAAACAGCUUUGGCGUCCGCAAGGACGCAAGGUCGCCCGACAGUUGCCCCCUGGUGCUGGUUGCUUGCCCCACAGUAGCGACGCUCAGUUCUGAAGGCCUGUGCCGCGAGGUGGGGCUUACUGCACGUGGUGUUUUGCAGUCGGGCGCGUGAUGGAUUUCCGCGUACACCGCCUCGGUCUUCCCGCAAUGGACCGGCGGACUGUCGAUCGGCAAUGAUAAAAUCGAGGUACCUUCGGGACCCGUCUUGAAACACGGACCAAGAAGUCUAUCUUGCGCGCGAGCCAAUGGUCGUCCUCCGGAACACCAAAGGCGCAAAAAACAUAACUUGAGUUGUGCGGGAUUACGGGCGCGGCUCUCUGCAGCGUCCCUCCAUCCCCGGGUGUUGUACCAGGCAUGCGGUGAGGCCCUCCGGGGCCCUACCGUGCCACAACAUACCGUGAGUGUGCAGGAUGUGACCCGAAAGAUGGUGAACUAUGCCUGAUCAGGUUGAAGUCAGGGGAAACCCUGAUGGAGGACCGAAGCAGUUCUGACGU
rnacentral:rRNA from 1 species